rnacentral:rRNA from 1 species
GGAUCAGGUAGGAAUACCCGCUGAACUUAAGCAUAUCAUAGCCGGA